AGUAUUAAAUUAACAUCGUAAGAUUUCAAAAGUUAGUUAUUUCAUCUUAUCAUUUAUCUUCCUCGUUUACCUAUCUCACAUUAUGGAAAACCAUUUAUUUGUUAAGAAAACGAUACGUUAAUAUAGACAAUCAAACAUGCAUCAUGCUAGAUAAUAGAGAAAAUUAAAUAAAUCAUGAAACGCUCAUAUUUUUGUGUCAUGCUUCGCGAAGUCGUUACAACUUCCAUCUCUGAGGGAAGAUACAGAUUUCUAACUACAAAAGUGGAAUGAUCAAAUUAGAUACAGAUACGGUAAUUUGCUCAGACCCAUUUUCGGCUGACCAAACCAUA
rnacentral:lncRNA from 1 species